rnacentral:rRNA from 1 species
AGAGUUUGAUCCUGGCUCAGAACGAACGCUGGCGGCAUGCCUAACACAUGCAAGUCGAACGAGACCUUCGGGUCUAGUGGCGCACGGGUGCGUAACGCGUGGGAACCUGCCUUUAGGUUCGGAAUAACUCAGAGAAAUUUGAGCUAAUACCGGAUAAUGUCUUCGGACCAAAGAUUUAUCGCCUUUAGAUGGGCCCGCGUAAGAUUAGCUAGUUGGUGGGGUAAAGGCCUACCAAGGCGACGAUCUUUAGCUGGUCUGAGAGGAUGAUCAGCCACACUGGGACUGAGACACGGCCCAGACUCCUACGGGAGGCAGCAGUGGGGAAUAUUGGACAAUGGGCGAAAGCCUGAUCCAGCAAUGCCGCGUGAGUGAUGAAGGCCUUAGGGUUGUAAAGCUCUUUUACCCGAGAUGAUAAUGACAGUAUCGGGAGAAUAAGCUCCGGCUAACUCCGUG